AGAGUUUGAUCAUGGCUCAGAAUCAACGCUGGCGGCGCGCUUAACACAUGCAAGUCGCACGAGAAAGUGGAGCAAUCCAUGAGUACAGUGGCGUACGGGUGAGUAACACGUGGAUCAUCUACCUUUUAGUGGGGAAUACCCCCGGGAAACUGGGGAUAAUACCGCAUAAGCUCGUAAGAGGAAAGCAGCAAUGCGCUGAAAGAGGAGUCCGCGGCUGAUUCGCUAGUUGGUGAGGUAAUGGCUCACCAAGGCGAAGAUCGGUAGCCGGCCUGAGAGGGCACACGGCCACACUGGCACUGAAACACGGGCCAGACUCCUACGGGAGGCAGCAGUGGGGAAUCUUGCACAAUGGAGGAAACUCUGAUGCAGCGACGCCGCGUGAGCGAUGAAGCCCUUCGGGGUGUAAAGCUCUUUCGACGGGAACGAUAAUGACGGUACCCGAAGAAGAAGCUGCGGCUAACUACGUGCCAGCAGCCGCGGUAAUACGUAGGCAGCAAGCGUUGUUCGGAAUUACUGGGCGUAAAGAGUGUGUAGGCGGUGCUCUAAGUCUGUUGUGAAAUCUCCCGGCUUAACUGGGAGGGUGCGGCGGAAACUGGAGUGCUUGAGGGUGGGAGAGGUAAGCGGAAUUCCUGGUGUAGCGGUGAAAUGCGUAGAUAUCAGGAGGAACACCUGUGGUGUAGACAGCUUACUGGACCACUUCUGACGCUGAGACACGAAAGCGUGGGUAGCAAACAGGAUUAGAUACCCUAGUAGUCC
rnacentral:rRNA from 1 species